rnacentral:rRNA from 1 species
GGAUCAGGUAGGAAUACCCGCUGAACUUAAGCAUAUCAAUAAGCGGAGGAAAAGAAACCAACAGGGAUUGCCCUAGUAACGGCGAGUGAAGCGGCAACAGCUCAAAUUUG